UUACCAGAGAUGGAUUGGUGGCCCUCGGGAACUCUGACACAGGUGGCUGCAUGGCUGUCGUCAGCUCGUGUCGUGAGAUGUUGGGUUAAGUCCCGUAACGAGCGCAACCCUUGUCCUUAGUUACCAGCACGUUAUGGUGGGCGACUCUAAGGAGACUGCCGGUGACAAACCGGAGGAAGGUGGGGAGUGACGUCAAGUCAUCAUGGCCCUUACGGCCUGGGCUACACACGUGCUACAAUGGUCGGUACAAAGGGUUGCCAAGCCGCGAGGUGGAGCUAAUCCCAUAAAACCGAUCGUAGUCCGGAUCGCAGUCUGCAACUCGACUGCGUGAAGUCGGAAUCGCUAGUAAUCGUGAAUCAGAAUGUCACGGUGAAUACGUUCCCGGGCCUU
rnacentral:rRNA from 1 species